CGCACCGGAGCAGGAGCCGGCUGCGCUUGUUGUCAUAUGACACAUUACAGUUUCAUGUUCCCGCUGUGUUCCAAAUAUAUAUGUCUCUAUUUGAUUUUAUCCCGACGAGGGUAAGAGGUUACAACCGGUGACCUCAGCGUCUUGGAACGAUGGCGACUUUGAUAAAGGGAGAAUCGAGAGGCAGCCGUGAACUGGAUCCGACGCAGGAAACGUCCCCGGAGCUUUGGGCGUCUCAUGGUUUCGCGCGACGCCCGUGUUUGUGUUUUUUUUUUUACAAAGUGUUUUCGAGGGACGGUUUCUCCCAUCUGAGACCGAGGAGCCGGAUAUUUGUAGCCCGCAGUGAGCGGUGAACAUGAGACAGAGAAAUGGCAGCAUCAGUCAGAAAUACAUCCAUCCUAAUUGACUUCCUGGCCUCACUGACAUCUCACAUUAAUGAUGGAUAACUGCGGGAAACGAGGGAAUCUAUAGUCAGGUCUCUGCAGACAAGCAGCACUAGAAAGUUUAAAGUCACCUGAUUCCAGUUAUUGUAAACAAAAUUUUAUUGGCCAUAAAAUAGCUUCUCAGCGCUGCCUGUGCAUUUUACACAGCUAAUGUUAUGUUAUAUAUUAUUACUAUAAACAUUAGAUAAUACAGAUAAAAAACAUCAUUUCCAUUUGUACUUGCAUAAAAUUCCUGCACUGCAGCAUUUCAACUGAAAGUAAGAAUGUUUCUAGAGAGAAAUAAAUUAUCAUUUUUCCUCAGAAGAGGUGUUUUCUCACAAUGUUAUAUCUUAUAAUAAAUGCAACUGGAUGCCAGCCCACAUGGCAGAAAAUAAAUGCUAGUGCCUCUUACCACGCGUUCCCCGUAGUCCUUAACUUUUUAAUCAAUUAAAGUCCUGCUCCAUAAAAUUAAUGACUGGGUGUAGCUCUUCUGCAGCGCAGACAGCAGCAGCUCCCUGAAGUCAGGAGCGAUGAGAUUUGACCUUCCACUUAAUUAAAAACCAGCAAAAUCUGGAUCAUCUGGCCCGACUGGUGCGGGCAGCGCGCUGAUGGAGUGUGGGGGCCCAGGGGAGCUGUGGGAUGCGCUGCUUUUGCCGUCGGCAUUGUCAUAUUGAAAUCAGAGACAUUUUCCUGUCCCCGGUUCGAGUCACAAGAGGGAAGAAAUUCCCUGCAUGUCCAGCCUUUUGAACAGCGCCAUUACAAAGGCACAUUCAUGAAGUUUUAAUGACCUUUUAUCCCAUGUUCAUCCUGAUAGCAGUUGGCAUUAUCCAUUACCCAAACAAGUGACCCCCCCCGAGGAGACAGCGCGCGCCUCCGUCCUUCACGUUUGCUGUGCUCCUCAGCUGGGCGCAAAAAUACAGUUAGAGGCGAUGGAAUCAGCUGUUUUAUGUCGCAGGUGUUUAGCUUCCACUGAACAGUAAAGGUCAGACGUUUGGUUUGAGGGAAGCUCGGGACGUAUUUGGUGAGGUUCCAGGAAACGCACACAUUCAAUUUUAUAUAAUGUUGCUUUUCAAAAUAAAGUCCACUGUUCCAGUGAAUAGGAAAACCAGUGUGGCAUGAAAAUCAUGAAAUCACGAAACCUGAGCAAAUAUUAGAUAAAUGAUUUAUUUUAAACUUCCCACUGAGGAGCGAGACAUUGAACACACCACUCGGGAGAUUGCUGCUCCUGGUGUUUAUCUGAUGCAGCUGCUGUUUCAGACUGUUUGUUUGUGGGGCUAAUAUCAGAGCGGUGGAAUGACGGCGCCUCCUCCGCUGCUGCCUAACCUUGGCUUCUCCUGGAUGCUCGGCACUGCGCUGACAGCCUCACUGUGUCUAACACCGCUCUUCUACCCCGUGACAGCUCCCAGCAUCUCGGCGUCGAGACAAGAGAGCGAAUCCUACAGGAGCAGCACGCACUGACGAAGAGCGAGCGUCCAACGCCGGCUUCAGAUGCAGCGACGUGAUGAAUGAAAGCAGCAGCAAACUGAUUCUGUAAAUAGAUAAAGUACAACUAAACCCAAAUAAAAUAAACUAAGUAAAGUGCUUUUAUUCCAGCCAUGA